GGGGCCUGCCUGAAAUACGGAUCCACGCGGAUCAAAUGCGGAUCGGGCUGAAAUGCGGAUCAACGCGGAACGCUCGCGGAUCUCUAUUGAAACUUGACUGAUCUGUCUGAAAGAAUGAUAUCUAUGCAUCAGGAGGGAAUUUUUAUUAGCUCUAUUUAAGUUUUUGAUAAGAACUUCAUCAUUUUAGCAGUUUCAGAACAGUAUCUACUUGAGCUGACCAUAACUUCAAGAUUUAUGUGUGAAUGUGAUUCAGAACAAUAACAUCUUAUAAUGGAUCCUUUAAGAAAUAAUUAUAAUAAAUUCAUAAGUUUUUAAUGACACAGUGAUAUUAUAGCUUUAACACAAUAGCAAACUGCUGCAGCAGCUGAUAUAUGAACUGAAUAUUUCAAACUUUGAUUGAAUAGGAAUAACAAAAGAAUUUUUAUUUUACCACGAGAAAUGAAAGUA
rnacentral:lncRNA from 1 species